AGAGUUUGAUCAUGGCUCAGAACGAACGCUGGCGGCAUGCUUAACACAUGCAAGUCAACGGGCGCCUUCGGGCGUUAGUGGCGCACGGGUGAGUAACGCGUGGGAACCUGUCAUGAAGUGGGGAACAACCACUGGAAACGGUGGCUAAUACCGCAUACGCCCUGAGGGGCAAAGGCUUCGGCCGCUUUGUGAGGGGCCCGCGUCCGAUUAGCUAGUUGGUGGGGUAACGGCCUACCAAGGCUACGAUCGGUAGCUGGUCUGAGAGGAUGAUCAGCCACACUGGGACUGAGACACGGCCCAGACUCCUACGGGAGGCAGCAGUGGGGAAUAUUGGACAAUGGGCGAAAGCCUGAUCCAGCAAUGCCGCGUGAGUGAAGAAGGCCUUAGGGUUGUAAAGCUCUUUCGCCUGCGACGAUGAUGACGGUAGCAGGAGAAGAAGCCCCGGCUAAUUCCGUG
rnacentral:rRNA from 1 species